CGACGCCGCGUGAGGGAUGAAGGCCUUCGGGUCGUAAACCUCUUUUAUGGGGGAAGAAGUUCUGACGGUACCCCAUGAAUAAGCCACGGCUAACUACGUGC
rnacentral:rRNA from 1 species